rnacentral:tRNA from 1 species
UCCCCUAAAGCCCUGGCUUCCCGAUAUUCAAAAAGACAGCUGAGCGAGUGGCUGUUAACCACUAGGUUGUAGGUUCAAGUCCUACCGGGGGAGCCA